GUGGAAGGAGGGUCUCUUGGAGGGCUCAGGGGCCCAGCACUCAAUCAUGAUGUGGUAAAUAACUUGAGGACAACGGGCUGGACAAGGCAGCCGAAACCCUGAUGACAACAGGCACAAAAUACAAGAUGUUCAGUACUCAACUGUGCAGAUACAGACAGCUACCACAACUAUGAGAACAUCAGAAAUUGCUGCAAUAGCUCAACUUUGAAAGGUAAAACGCAGCAGAAAUGUUCUCCCCGGAGAAGCUGAUUUAUUUACAACCGAAGUCGGCCACCUUGCAGACCAGAUCUUCUCCCACCAGGAUGUUCCUGGCAGCCAGGUCUCUGUGGACGAUCUUUCUGUCCUCCAGGGGUAAGGAGGAAAUAUGACAACCUGCAUGUAAACUGAGAGGCGAGGUAGGACUUGAGGUUUCCUUUGGUCAUGAGCUCCGUCACGAUGUAGACCGGUUCUCCU